rnacentral:rRNA from 1 species
AGCAGCCGCGGUAAUUCCAGCUCCAAUAGCGUAUAUUAAAGUCGUUGCAGUUAAAAAGCUCGUAGUUGAAUUUCGGGGUUAGUAGGUUGGUCAUGCCUCUGGUAUGUACUGGUCUCACUGACUCCUCCUUCCUGAUGAACUGUAAUGCCAUUAAUUUGGUGUUGCGGGGAAACUGGACUGUUACUUGAAAAAAUUGAGUGUUUAAAGCAAGCUAACGCUUGAAUACAUUAGCAUGGAAUAAUGAAAUAGGACGUUCGAUCCUAUUUUGUUGGUUUCUAGGAUUGACGUAAUGAUUAAUAGGGAUAGUUGGGGCAUUAGUAUUCAAUUGUCAGAGGUG